AAUGAACGCUGGCGGCGCGCCUAAUACAUGCAAGUCGAGCGAGAAGACGUAGCAAUACGUUUGUAAAGCGGCGAACGGGUGAGGAAUACAUGGGUAACCUACCCUAGAGUGGGGAAUAACUAGCCGAAAGGUUAGCUAAUACCGCGUACGCUCCUUGGACUUCGGUUCAGGGAGGAAAGCGAUGCCGAGGGUAUCGCGCUCUUGGAUGGGCUCAUGUCCUAUCAGCUUGUUGGNGAGGUAACGGCUCACCAAGGCUUCGACGGGUAGCUGGUCUGAGAGGACGAUCAGCCACACUGGCACUGCGACACGGGCCAGACUCCUACGGGAGGCAGCAGUAAGGAAUAUUGCGCAA
rnacentral:rRNA from 1 species